AAUAUGAAAAGUGAGAAUAAUUCAUCUUCCUCAAUUCAUUCUUCCAUGUUCCAUACUUCCAAGUUCCUUUCAAUUUUAUUCAUUCUUCAUUCUUUCAAGAAGCGGGCAGCGAGUUAAGACGGGCAGUGAACUCAGAGGCUAGCCGUCAGCGAGUUCAGAGUCUUCAGACGGCCAGCAACCGGCGACCAGCGACCGGCGACCAGCGACCGGCGACCAGCUGACCACUAAUCAGUUUUGGAGUUGUCCAAAAAAUUAGAUAUGUGGGAAACUAAUAUGAUGGAAGGUGGAACUAUAGCAUGUUCAAUUCAAUAUGAAGAUUGGAAUAAUAUGAGGAAUGUUACAAAGUUUCUUGAAAAAUUUUAUGAGCUCACUUUGAAUGUUUCAGGUUCACGAGAUGGAAAAUAGUGGAAGAAACUCUUCCACUGUUGAUAUAUGAUUGACUUGCAAGGGGUCCAAGAGUCAAGACAAUGAAGAAGACGUACAGUACUAAGUUUUAUUAGUAAUUUUGUUGGCAUGUGACACUUGAAAGUUGAAAGCGGUCUCAUGGAAGAAGGUCAAGAAAACUCACUAUUUUUGUUUGUUAUUGUUUACAUUUGAAUUGAACGUGAUCUUAUGGAAGAAAACAAGAAGUUUAAAAUACAUUGUUUGUUGCUCAUUAUUGUUUAUUAUGUUGGCACUAGAAUUCUCGAAAGUUGAAACUUGAAAGUGGUCUCAACUCUCAUGGAAGACUGUAUUGUUACUUGUUAGAUUGUUAUUAUGUGGUAUUUGUGAAGACAUUAACUACAAUGCACUUUUGUUUUAGUGAUAUUGUUAAUUAAAAAUUGUGUGUUUUAGUGACAUUAUGAA